AUUGAACGCUGGCGGUAGGCCUAACACAUGCAAGUCGAGCGGAUGAAGGGAGCUUGCUCCUGGAUUCGGCGGCGGACGGGUGAGUAAUGCCUAGGAAUCUGCCUGGUAGUGGGGGAUAACGUCCGGAAACGGGCGCUAAUACCGCAUACGUCCUGAGGGAGAAAGUGGGGGAUCUUCGGACCUCACGCUAUCAGAUGAGCCUAGGUCGGAUUAGCUAGUUGGUGGGGUAAAGGCCUACCAAGGCGACGAUCCGUAACUGGUCUGAGAGGAUGAUCAGUCACACUGGAACUGAGACACGGUCCAGACUCCUACGGGAGGCAGCAGUGGGGAAUAUUGGACAAUGGGCGAAAGCCUGAUCCAGCCAUGCCGCGUGUGUGAAGAAGGUCUUCGGAUUGUAAAGCACUUUAAGUUGGGAGGAAGGGCAGUAAGUUAAUACCUUGCUGUUUUGACGUUACCAACAGAAUAAGCACCGGCUAACUUCGUG
rnacentral:rRNA from 1 species